CAAGAUUUUUUUUUUUUUGAUAAAAGGAUAGCUUCAUUAACUAAAGGCCAGAAGGCACAUACAUCAGAUGCUGUCUCAUACCUAAAAUCUAGAUGGCACAAGUCGCCAAGCAAAAGACAAGUACCUUCACUGUUAACACAUAUGCUCACUUGUUGAGCCUAGAAUACAGGAAAUCAAAUUCUCACUACUAACCUCCUUUGAAAAGAAAACCUAGUCGCCUAGAGACCUCAAUUGGUGUACAACUAAGUAGACUGAGAAGAAAGUAAUGAUGAACCCAAUUUCCAGUAGUAGGCAAAGGACCCAGGAAAGCUUAAAGACUUUCCUUUGCCCUUAUCUCUAGGGCUAGAAAAAAACCCUGUAGAAGGUCUCCUGGGUCCCAAAUCCAGACCCAUGGAGAGGUAUGACCCACGAAAUGGUGAAAAUGGGCCAAAGGAGUGACAUAGGCCCGAUAGCAGCCCAAAAGUUGGGAAACCCAGAUUGAUUUGGACACCCACAGUAGGGCACCCAAACUCAGCCGCCCUCCACCUUCAGACGUCGUCUGCCUCCAUCCCAGCCACCAAAUCAGAGACCGCUGCCUCCUUGGAAAGCCUCUAUCAGUCCCAGUGGUACCAGCCAUGCAUGCCCAAAUGGAUCUGAACACCCAGCCAUAAUCACCGAUCUCCCUAUUCGUUGCCACCGCAAGCAGCGAAUUCGGUAUCGUCGCAACCCAGUACAGCCACCAAAGCAUGAGCCAACUGCCGCCCAGAGAUCGAUGCCGGAGACGGCCACGUCGAGGCCGGGGCCAGAAGCCACCCAACCCAAUUGUGACCAUCAACCAUAGCCACAAACAAACCCUGAAUUGGAGGAAACUCGGCUUGAAAGCGGUAGGCGCGGCGGCAAAAGUCGCCGUUGUGCUUGGCCGCUGGUGCGACCGCUGGUGGGGAGACUCCCAUAGAUGCCGUUUGUCUUUGGCGGCGCUAGAGCAGCGAGAGCUUUCGCUCUCGAGGGUUUUCAUAUCGUUAUGAUGUUUGUUGUGCAUUGGUUGAUCACAAGAUAUUGAAACAUACAUUUUUCUUAUUAUUUAUUACACAAUAACUGAUCGUUUAUAAUUGUUCUGAAUUCAAAUAUUCCUACUUGUAAUGACACUGUCACUAAAUGAAGUAGUUGCAAAACAUUUACACUUUAUCACAAUUAGUUCAAAAUUCCGAAGUUUUUUUUUUUUUUUUUUUUGAUGGAAAAGGAAUGAACUUUAUUGAAUUAAGUGGGAGGCGGUUGCUCCUUGUUUACAAGAUCACGGAUACAUUUUGGAGUGUGGUUGAACCAGCCAACUGAAAUCUAACUGAAAAAUUAGCAAGUGCUAUCUAACACACAUGCACAUGAAAUUUAAUCAUGAGAUGGCUUAUAGUUGACGCGAACGAAGUCCAAAUAAACUCCACUUUGACCAAAAAAAAAAAAACAGUCCCCACUCUUUUUUGGUCUGAAAAAUAAACUCCACUCAUAAAACUCAGAAAGCCCAAGAGGUUGCAGCAACUGAAAAGACUCGAGCAGUACGUCGAGCCUACCAUCAAGGUUGGAAAUUAUAGUUUCCUGAUCCAAAGGCAUUUGCCAGCCAAAGGUGGGUGCAGCUCUAUUUGAUUUCAGUCAAGUUCAUUAUGGGCACUACGAAACUAAACUAAACCGCCACAUUUUCCGGCGCAAGAACGAUUCUCCCUGCACUUUUACCGCUCUGACCAAAUCCGGACAGGAAAACAGAUGGUGAUUGGUGACGCAGCAUGUUUUAUGUUUUGUUCACAAACAACGCCGUUGUUCCUUUUUUGUGUCCCAUCACUUACCAACAAAUUAAUUGUCUUGCGUCAGAUAUAUUACACUGCUUUUUCUUCUUCCUAAGCUCGAAGGUUUGGAAUAAAAAACAAAGUGGAAGUUACAGACAGCAAACCAGGGGCGUAUCUACUAACAAGGCUGGUUGGGCUAUAGCCCAAGGGAGAAUCAAGGAGAAAAAGGCCUAAGUAUAGGUAUUGCAGCCUACUUAAAAAAAAAAAAAAAAAAUAUAUGUAAACAUAUGAUAUUAAAUUAUUAAGCUUUAUUCCUUACCAGAGAGAGAGAGUAGCCGACAGACAUCAGUUCCUCUUAAAAAAAUAAGAGAGUAGCUCCUCUUAUUGAAUCUUGACUUCCUCAGUUCCUCAGUUCCUUUCCUCUUCCUCAGACCUCAGUUCCUCUCAGUUCCUCUUCCUCCGACCGAGCAUCAGUUCCGAACUUCGUCAGUUCCUCUUCCUGAGUUCCUCCAAGGCUCCAACCCGAUUAGCUCCAGAUCACCCACAUAAAGAGGCUUCAAUUGAAGUAAUCGAAAGACCGGAACUUCGUAAGAGAUCAUUGAAUGGCAAAAGUCUGAAAUCUUUCCAAAUCGUGUCAUUCCUAUCAAAGUUAUCUCCCACAUAUCAAUGGAAAAGGAGUAGGCUCACAUAUGUUUGUUAAUUGAGAAAAAGAAUAAAGCUCCAUAUUCUGUAUAUUUAUUACAAACUGCAAAAUGGUUUAUGGAAUCAUUGGCAGGAUAAAAGUUUUACACGUAUACCAAAAUUAGUCGUAUGUAAAAGAAUUUAACUGGUUGAUUUUGAAUAAAUAUAUGAGAAACAUGCAUGUAUUACAAACUUAUUAGUAAUUAAGAACUCCGCCAUUGUGGUAUGACUUUAUCCUUUUUGUAUUGAAAUAAAAUGAAUAUGUUUGUUAAUUGAGAAAAAGAAUAAAGCUCCAUAUUCUGUAUAUUUAUUACAAACUGCAAAAUGGUUUAUGGAAUCAUUGGCAGGAUAAAAGUUUUACACGUAUACCAAAAUUAGUCGUAUGUAAAAGAAUUUAACUGGUUGAUUUUGAAUAAAUAUAUGAGAAACAUGCAUGUAUUACAAACUUAUUAGUAAUUAAGAACUCCGCCAUUGUGGUAUGACUUUAUCCUUUUUGUAUUGAAAUAAAAUGAAUAUGCAACUAAGCAGCAAGUGCAGCACAUGCUAAGGCUUCAUGGGUCACAGCACGCAUGCUUAGACAUGUAUGCAGCAUGCUGUCCACUGUGAAGCAGUAACUUUUCCCUA